rnacentral:tRNA from 1 species
UGGCCUAAUGGAUAAGGCGUCUGACUUCUAAUCAGAAGAUCGUCGGUUCAAUCUCGGC